rnacentral:rRNA from 1 species
GACGAACGCUGGCGGCGUGCCUAACACAUGCAAGUCGAGCGCGCAGCCAUCGGUAGCAAUACCGGUGGUGGGCGAGCGGCGAACGGGUGCGUAACACGUGGGCAACCUGCCCCAGACUCUGGGAUAACCCCGGGAAACCGGGGCUAAUACCGGAUACUCCCGGCCGGCCGCAUGAUCGGCCGAGGAACGCGCCGACGGCCUGGGAUGGGCCCGCGGCCUAUCAGCUUGUUGGUGGGGUAGCGGCCUACCAAGGCGACGACGGGUAGCUGGUCUGAGAGGACGGCCAGCCACACUGGGACUGAGAUACGGCCCAGACUCCUACGGGAGGCAGCAGUGGGGAAUCUUGCGCAAUGGGCGAAAGCCUGACGCAGCGACGCCGCGUGAGGGAUGAAGGCCUUCGGGUUGUAAACCUCUUUCGGCAGGGACGAAGCGAAAGUGACGGUACCUGCAGAAGAAGCCCCGGCUAACUACGUGCCAGCCGCCGCCGUAA